GGCGACGCCAUUCGUCAACCAGCGGGACAAGGUCACUUAGUUCCGGCCUGACUGUUUGACAUCACUUCCGGCCCCGGCCGGCGGCUUGCUCGCCUCUCUUCCUGCUUGAGCGUGGAUGUGAGAACCUAGGUGAGUGGACUCCGAGCACUGGGAGUCUAGCGGAGGGAGUCGGAGAAUGUGGGGCCAGCAGCAUGGAAAAGGAAGGCGGGAAGCCCGCGGCUGUUGUCGCAGUUGUAACUGAGCCUCGGUUUACCCAGCGGUACAGGGAGUAUCUCGAGAAGCAGAAACUCCUGGAUAGACAGCACCGUGUGGAAAAGAUGCCGGAUGGCACCGUGGCGCUACCGGUGCUGGGAGAGGCCCUCCCUGAGCAGCACCUGCGGGAGCUGACGAAUCGUGUGGCUCCAGGCAGCCCCUGUGUGCUAACGCAGCUCCUGGAGCCUGGUCCUUCAAAGAAGGCCCGGGGUUUUUCACCUGCCCAAAGGCUGUGUCUUGAGGUGAGGCGCUGGGUAGAGGGCUGCGGAGUGACGUGGUCAGCUGAGUUGGAGGCUGAUCUGCCCCGAUCUUGGCAACGACACGGUGAUCUCUUGUUGCUGAGUGAGGACUGUUUCCAAGCCAAGCAGUGGAGAAAUCUGGAACCAGAACUCUGGGAGACUGUUGCCUUGGCACUUGGCGUCCAGCGUUUGGCCAAACGAGGGCGGGUAUCACCGGAUGGCGCUCGGACUCCGGCAGUGAGUCUGCUGCUAGGUGACAGUGGCUGGGUAGAGCAUGUGGAUAAUGGCAUCCGAUAUAAGUUUGACGUGACCCAGUGCAUGUUCUCCUUCGGAAACAUCACUGAGAAGCUUCGUGUGGCUUCGUUGCCCUGUGCUGGAGAAGUACUGGUGGAUCUCUAUGCAGGGAUUGGUUAUUUCACAUUGCCUUUCCUAGUUCAUGCUGGUGCUGCCUUUGUCCAUGCCUGUGAGUGGAACCCCCAUGCUGUAGUUGCUCUGAGAAAUAACCUUGAGCUCAAUGGAGUAGUGGAUCGGUGCCAAAUACACUUUGGGGAUAACAGAAAACUGAAGCUUUCAAACGUUGCGGACAGGGUGAACCUGGGGCUGAUUCCCAGCUCUGAAGAAGGCUGGCCCAUUGCCUGCCAAGUGCUAAGACGGGAUGCUGGAGGCAUUUUGCAUAUUCACCAAAAUGUGGAAUCUUUCCCAGGGAAGACUGUCCAGCCUCCUGGAAACAGUGACACGGAGAAGGAGCAUUGGCUUUCUCCUCAGCUUAUUAUCACCAACGAGUUGGAAAACGGAGCUACCAGUGACUCUGGGAGAAAAAUGCUGUCAGCAGCCACCAAACCAGCGUGGCAAAGGUGGGCGGAGUCUGCAGAAACUCGCAUUGCUACUCUCCUUCAGCGGGUGCACGGGAAGCCGUGGAAGACACAAAUUUUGCACAUCCAGCCAGUGAAAUCCUAUGCUCCCCACGUGGAUCACAUAGUCCUGGAUCUGGACUGCCGCCCUUGUCCUCUAGUUGGCUAGAGAGGGUGGCUCCUGAGACAUGAGGAUCUCUGGGUGAGUGAUCCUUAAUGCAUCAGCUCAGGCCGCGGUCUCACCCCUCUUGUCUCCUGCUAUGCAUACUCACAGUUUCAAAACUCAAAUAAAAGUAACAGAACUUCAUGAAAAAAGCAGCUGUUGCACACAGCACCAUCCUGAAGCAGCUGUCCCGCAGCUCCUUCCCCUCACGUUGUGUGUCUACUUUCACCACCUUCAGGUGGGCUUAUUUGCCAGAGGAGACACAGGACCUGACCUCUGUACCACCAGGAGCCGUGAGAGUCCGUGGAACUGGGUCCUGACGGCGUGGGAUCAGAAGCAGUUUGCAUUCACACAGGACAGACAACAGCCCUCUCCCAGUCUCCAUCGUAAUAUACUCUGAAGAGGUCUAGACCAUGUGAACAUUCCACAGAACGCCGCCCUGACCUGUUACAUUCAUGACAUCACAGUACUUGGGCCAGAUAAACAGUAAGUAGCCAGCACACUGUACUCCCAAGGAUGGGAAAUGAUCACUAAUAAGAACCAGAAAACUUUUCUAUCAGUGAAAUUUUUAGGGAGUGGUCUGCUUGCAUGUCAAGAUGCCGCACUCAUAAUAGAGAUAUUUUUUCCACAUUUAUUUUAUCAGUAUUAUUUUGCCACCAAAGAAGCACAUCUAGCUCCAGGCUUCUUUGUGGGGGAUAUUCAGAACCGGGAAUGCUGCCCUGGCUCAUACACUGGGUGACAGAAGGCUGCCGGUUUUCACUUGGCUCUAAAGGCUCUGUAGCAGGUUCAGGCUGCAGUGUGACUAACCUUGUUGUGUGGACCGUUCGGUCCAGGAGAUUCUACGGGGUGAGGCAGUCUUGAUAAGCGAAGUGGCCCUAGGAGCCUAUGCAAGGUCCAGCAGGAGAAUCCCAAGGUAGACGUCUAGGUUCUGCAGCAAGGCCAGGGCAGCCGCUGCGGAGGACUGCAAGUCACUCAAAAGUGGCUCCUUGCGUGCCAACGAGCCUUGGUAAGAACGGAGCCUCUCGUGGGACGUUAGCCUGAGUUGCUCAUCAUGAGCUAGGUUUUGUCAGACCCACCAAGUCAGUCCAUCAUAAGAUGGAAGUGGUACGUCUGGGAUCGGUGACAAGCAGGGCCAGAGGAAAUGAACAGUUGCACAGGCAUGUGUCAAACUCACAACUCACCCCAAGAUCCCUCCCUCAGCUCUGAUGUCUAACUGAUGGAGGACAAAAAGCCCAGGCUCAGUUCAUUGAUGGGUUUUGCUGGAAUAUGGGUUCGAAACACAACAGACUGCUGCUGUCCUUCAGCCUGAGUCGGGAGUGCUGUUAAAAGACGGGAGUUCUCUGAACAGGCGGAACUUGGGGCAGUCUUCCUGGUUGUCCACCUUGUGUGGAAAGGAAAGUGGCCUGAAAGUAAGAAUAUAGCUUUUUGGCAAGUGGCAAAUAGGUUGUCUAGAUGGUCGGGGCCUGGAAUGAGAAAGAUGAGAAGAUGAGGAACAAGGUAACCUAGAGAAGAAGCAGGGGAGAAAUCUAUGGGAUUGGGCACCGAGUAAAGAACUUUGCGCUGCAUGACAGUGCCUACCAGGGACAUCCACCAUGGAAGAGGCGCUCAAUAUCAAGUGAACAAAGAGCCCCAGCCAGUUAACUUCAGCGACCACAGUCAUCAGCUCUCCCAGGACUGGCAUGAUGGGCUCGUCAUGUAGUCAUGUUGCAGGGGUGCGGGUUAGCAAGAGGCCAACAGUGUGGCUUCCACUCACCAAGUGGCCACUCCUUCAUGUUCAAAACUGAGCCCUUGAUACAACAUCAUCCCUCAAAGAAAUUGAGCAGCUACGUGGUAUCAAGUUGAUUACACUGGACUCCUAUCCUGGAAGGACAGUGAUUCACCUUGACUAGAAUCUUCCCAUCUCCAGGUAUGAGUCUGCCUUUCCUGCCCACAAGAUGUUAGCCAGACUACUUAUUGCAGGGUUUACAAGUGUCCAUCGGUAUGUAUCCUGCAUAAUAUUGCCUUUGACCUGGGGACCCACUUUGCUGCAAAAGAGGUGUUUCAGUGAGCACGUGACCAUUGGAAUUCACCAGUCCUAUCACAUACUACAGAACCUUGGAAAUGCUGGCCCAAUGGAGUGGUGGAAAAACCUUUGGAACUGAAGCAAGAGCUUGGAGAUGAUACCCUGUGAAGACAGGAUGCUGUCCACCAAGACUCAGUAUACAUGCUAAAAAACACAUCGCAUAGUGCCACAUCCACUAUAGAUAGAAAAUGCUGCAAGUCUGUGGUGGGCUAAAUAAUGGGCCCCAAUUAUGUCCAUGUCCUAAUCCCCAGAAUCUGUGAAUAUAUUACCUUACAUGGUAAAAGGGAUUUGUCAGAUUAAGUUAAGGAUCUCCAGAUGGGGAGGGUAUCAUGGAUGAUCUAGGUGGGCCCAAUAUAAUCUCAGAGGUCCUUAUAAGAGGGAGGUGGGAGCAAGUAGCAGGAGAUGUGAUGACUGAAGUAGGAGGUUGGAGUGAUGUAAGGAAGGGACCAUAAGCCAACGAAUGUAGGCAGCCUCUAGAAAUAGAAAAAGGCAAAGAAAUGGAUUCUCUCCCAAAGCCUUCAGGAGGAACACAGCCUUGUUGACACCUCAAUUUUAGAUUCUUGAUUUCCAUGAUGUAAGAAUAAAUUUGUGUUGUUUUGAACCAUGAAA